UACGUAGGGGGCAAGCGUUGUCCGGAAUCAUUGGGCGUAAAGAGCGUGUAGGCGGCCCGAUAAGUCCGCUGUGAAAGUCCAGGGCUCAACCCUGGGAUGCCGGUGGAUACUGUCGGGCUCGAGUCCGGAAGAGGAGUGUGGAAUUCCACGUGUAGCGGUGAAAUGCGUAGAGAUGUGGAGGAACACCAAUGGCGAAGGCAGCCUUCUGGGCCAACACUGACGCUCAUGCACGAAAGCGUGGGGAGCAAACAGG
rnacentral:rRNA from 1 species